ACUUAAAUUGAAGAGUUUGAUCAUGGCUCAGAUUGAACGCUGGCGGCAGGCCUAACACAUGCAAGUCGAGCGGUAGCACAGAGAGCUUGCUCUCGGGUGACGAGCGGCGGACGGGUGAGUAAUGUCUGGGAAACUGCCUGAUGGAGGGGGAUAACUACUGGAAACGGUAGCUAAUACCGCAUAACGUCGCAAGACCAAAGUGGGGGACCUUCGGGCCUCAUGCCAUCAGAUGUGCCCAGAUGGGAUUAGCUAGUAGGUGAGGUAACGGCUCACCUAGGCGACGAUCCCUAGCUGGUCUGAGAGGAUGACCAGCCACACUGGAACUGAGACACGGUCCAGACUCCUACGGGAGGCAGCAGUGGGGAAUAUUGCACAAUGGGCGCAAGCCUGAUGCAGCCAUGCCGCGUGUGUGAAGAAGGCCUUCGGGUUGUAAAGCACUUUCAGCGGGGAGGAAGGCGUUAAGGUUAAUAACCUUGGCGAUUGACGUUACCCGCAGAAGAAGCACCGGCUAACUCCGUGCCAGCAGCCGCGGUAAUACGGAGGGUGCAAGCGUUAAUCGGAAUUACUGGGCGUAAAGCGCACGCAGGCGGUCUGUCAAGUCGGAUGUGAAAUCCCCGGGCUUAACCUGGGAACUGCAUUCGAAACUGGCAGGCUAGAGUCUUGUAGAGGGGGGUAGAAUUCCAGGUGUAGCGGUGAAAUGCGUAGAGAUCUGGAGGAAUACCGGUGGCGAAGGCGGCCCCCUGGACAAAGACUGACGCUCAGGUGCGAAAGCGUGGGGAGCAAACAGGAUUAGAUACCCUGGUAGUCCACGCCGUAAACGAUGUCGAUUUGGAGGUUGUGCCCUUGAGGCGUGGCUUCCGGAGCUAACGCGUUAAAUCGACCGCCUGGGGAGUACGGCCGCAAGGUUAAAACUCAAAUGAAUUGACGGGGGCCCGCACAAGCGGUGGAGCAUGUGGUUUAAUUCGAUGCAACGCGAAGAACCUUACCUGGUCUUGACAUCCACAGAACUUUCCAGAGAUGGAUUGGUGCCUUCGGGAACUGUGAGACAGGUGCUGCAUGGCUGUCGUCAGCUCGUGUUGUGAAAUGUUGGGUUAAGUCCCGCAACGAGCGCAACCCUUAUCCUUUGUUGCCAGCGGUUCGGCCGGGAACUCAAAGGAGACUGCCAGUGAUAAACUGGAGGAAGGUGGGGAUGACGUCAAGUCAUCAUGGCCCUUACGACCAGGGCUACACACGUGCUACAAUGGCAUAUACAAAGAGAAGCGACCUCGCGAGAGCAAGCGGACCUCAUAAAGUAUGUCGUAGUCCGGAUUGGAGUCUGCAACUCGACUCCAUGAAGUCGGAAUCGCUAGUAAUCGUAGAUCAGAAUGCUACGGUGAAUACGUUCCCGGGCCUUGUACACACCGCCCGUCACACCAUGGGAGUGGGUUGCAAAAGAAGUAGGUAGCUUAACCUUCGGGAGGGCGCUUACCACUUUGUGAUUCAUGACUGGGGUGAAGUCGUAACAAGGUAACCGUAGGGGAACCUGCGGUUGGAUCACCUCCUUACCUUAAAGAA
rnacentral:rRNA from 1 species